GGCUCAGAACGAACGCUGGCGGCGUGCUUAACACAUGCAAGUCGAACGCGAAAGGGACUUCGGUCCUGAGUAAAGUGGCGCACGGGUGAGUAACGCGUGGAUAAUCUACCCAAUGGUCUGGGGUAACAUUUCGAAAGGGGUACUAAUACCGGAUAAGACCACGGAGUCUUUGGACUCUGCGGUAAAAGGUGGGGACCUUCGGGCCCACCGCAAUUGGAUGAGUCCGCGUACCAUUAGCUAGUUGGUAGGGUAAAGGCCUACCAAGGCGACGAUGGUUAGCUGGUCUGAGAGGAUGAUCAGCCACACUGGAACUGAGACACGGUCCAGACUCCUACGGGAGGCAGCAGUGGGGAAUUUUGCGCAAUGGGGGAAACCCUGACGCAGCGACGCCGCGUGAGUGAUGAAGGCCUUCGGGUCGUAAAGCUCUGUCAGAGGGGAAGAAAUGCGGGGUGCUAAUAUCACUUCCGCUUGACGGUACCCUCAAAGGAAGCACCGGCUAACUCCGUGCCAGCAGCCGCGGUAAUACGGAGGGUGCGAGCGUUGUUCGGAAUUAUUGGGCGUAAAGCGCGUGUAGGCGGUUUGUUAAGUCUGAUGUGAAAGCCCCGGGCUCAACCUGGGAAGUGCAUUGGAAACUGGCAGACUUGAAUACGGGAGAGGGUAGUGGAAUUCCUAGUGUAGGAGUGAAAUCCGUAGAUAUUAGGAGGAACACCGGUGGCGAAGGCGGCUGCCUGGACCGAUAUUGACGCUGAGACGCGAAAGCGUGGGGAGCAAACAGGAUUAGAUACCCUGGUAGUCCACGCCGUAAACGAUGAGUACUAGGUGUUGCGGGUAUUGACCCCUGCAGUGCCGCAGCUAACGCAUUAAGUACUCCGCCUGGGAAGUACGGCCGCAAGGCUAAAACU
rnacentral:rRNA from 1 species